rnacentral:rRNA from 1 species
UAGGCGUAAAUGAUGCGAGUUAAGUGUGGGGGCAUCUACGAGAUGGUCCUGUGCUGUAGGGUAGCCGUUAAACUCGCUGCCUGGGGAGUACGGUCGCAAGGCUGAAACUUAAAGGAAUUGGCGGGGGAGCACCACAACGGGUGGAGCUUGCGGUUUAAUUGGAUUCAACGCCGGAAAUCUUACCGGGACCGACAGCAACAUGAAGGCCAGGCUGAAGACUUUGCCGGAUUAGCUGAGAGGAGGUGCAUGGCGUAGUCGUGU